GCCGAGAUAGCUCAGUCGGUAGAGCACGCGCAUGGUAAGCGCGAGGUCCAGAGUUCGAUCCUCUGUCUCGGCU
rnacentral:tRNA from 1 species